UACGUAGGGUGCAAGCGUUGUCCGGAAUUAUUGGGCGUAAAGAGCUCGUAGGCGGUUUGUUGCGUCGGCUGUGAAAUCCCGAGGCUCAACCUCGGGUCUGCAGUCGAUACGAGCAAACUAGAGUGUUGCAGGGGAGACUGGAAUUCCUGGUGUAGCGGUGAAAUGCGCAGAUAUCAGGAGGAACACCGGUGGCGAAGGCGGAUCUCUGGGACAUUACUGACGCUGAGGAGCGAAAGCCAGGGGAGCAAACGGG
rnacentral:rRNA from 1 species